UUAGGCCUCAAAUCAGG
rnacentral:rRNA from 1 species